GAAAGGAGUCAGGCUGCUCCAAAAGAGAUCAGUGGCUGAGUUGAAGCUACACCCCAAACCUCCUGACUUUACCAGCUCUGCAUCCAUACCCUCACUUGCUGACGGUUCCUCCAAUUAACAGUGAUUUUUGCCCUCCCCAGGCUGCUGACAGGAUCUGAAGCAUCUCCACAAACCUCCAGCCGUGAUCCAGGUGUCCCCACAGUGGCCCGAAUGGGCCCUAGAGGCAAGAAGAUUAUUUAAACGCGCCGUGUUCCCGCUGGUCCUUCCCACGUGGUCAACCCUUAAAGGCUGCAGAUGCUCCUCCACCUUCGCUGGCUGUCCCAUCUGCCAGGAACUGAAGAUCACACCCUCCACCAAACCUCCCACCCCGGGACCCCCUCCUUGGAUGGAGGCAGAGGAAGCUGCCCCGAGGAUUCCCCCAUUGUCUUCCUCGCUCCCGGGGAGACCCCAUGACACAGCUGGGGCUGUGACCGCGUGAGGGAGGAAUCUCGGAUGGGAUGUGAGGAGCGGGAAGGACCCGCGGCGCAGUUUGGUUUGGCAGCCCCUUACGGACAAUAAAAGGUCAGGCUGCAGAGGAGCUUGUUUGGUU
rnacentral:lncRNA from 1 species